rnacentral:lncRNA from 1 species
GGGAAGUACAUGAAGCUCAGAAUUAUCAAUACUGUUGACGUUUCCUGCGUACCACAUUCUCCUCUCCCCUAGAUAUUGCUGGGAUUUGCAAAGUUUAACGGUUUCUGUACCAAAAGUAACUUAGCUUAAAAUACUUGUUCCUUGAAAUGCCUGGGAAUUGGUAGGAAAGCACUUUCAAUCGGUAUUAGAAACAAACAUCUCCACUAUGUUCUGG